rnacentral:rRNA from 1 species
AGAACGAACGCUGGCGGCAUGCCUAACACAUGCAAGUCGAGCGGAAAGGCUCCUUUCGGGGGGUACUCGAGCGGCGAACGGGUGAGUAACACGUGAGUAACCUGCCCUGGACUUUGGGAUAACCCUCGGAAACGGGGGCUAAUACCGGAUAUGACACUUCACCGCAUGGUGUGGGUGUGGAAAGUUUUUCGGUUGGGAUGGGCUCGCGGCCUAUCAGCUUGUUGGUGGGGUGAUGGCCUACCAAGGCGACGACGGGUA